AGAAAGGGAAGCGUAGAGAGAAAAGGCCGUGGAGAAUGGCGGCGACAAAGAGGAUUGGCUGAACGACCUAUACGAAGCAAGAAUCAGAAAAAGGGAGCUUGCAGAAUCAUUGAUUAAGAUCGUGGACCGAUUGUCUCUGAGGGGGAGAUGGGAACCAAGUAUGUCCAUAAGAGUGCCAAGUACAAGACCUCAGUUAAGGAUCCUGGCAUGCCUGGCGUUUUGGAA
rnacentral:misc_RNA from 1 species